AGGUGAAAUUCGUAAAUAUUAGGAGGAACACCAGUGGCGAAGGCGUCUAUCUGGUUCAAAUCUGACGCUGAGGCGCGAAGGCGUGGGGAGCAAACAGGAUUAGAUACCCUGGUAGUCCACGCUGUAAACGAUGAAUGUUAAAUAUGGGAAGUUUUACUUUCUGUAUUACAGCUAACGCGUUAAACAUUCCGCCUGGGGACUACGGUCGCAAGAUUAAAACUCAAAGGAAUUGACGGGGACCCGCACAAGCGGUGGAGCAUGUGGUUUAAUUCGAUGCAACGCGAAAAACCUUACCACUCCUUGACAUGGAAAUUAUACCUAUUCGAAGGGAUAGGGUCGGUUCGUCCGGGUUUCACACAGGUGUUGCAUGGCUGUCGUCAGCUCGUGUCAUGAGAUGUUGGGUUAAGUCCCGCAACGAGCGCAACCCUCAUCCUUAGUUACCAUCAGGUAAUGCUGGGGACUUUAAGGAAACUGCCAGUGAUAAACUGGAGGAAGGUGGGGAUGAUGUCAAGUCAUCAUGGCCCUUAUGGAGUGGGCUACACACGUGCUACAAUGGUGGCUACAAUGGGCUGCAAAGUCGCGAGGCUAAGCUAAUCCCUUAAAAGCCAUCUCAGUUCGGAUUGUACUCUGCAACUCGAGUGCAUGAAGUUGGAAUCGCUAGUAAUCGUGGAUCAGCACGCCACGGUGAAUACGUUCUCGGGUCUUGUACACACUGCCCGUCACGCCAUGGGAAUUGGUUUCACUCGAAGCUAACGACCUAACCGCAAGGAGGGAGUUAUUUAAAGUGGGAUCGGUGACUGGGAAGAGGUCGUAACAAGGUAGCAGUAGGGGAAUCUGCGGCUGGAUCA
rnacentral:rRNA from 1 species